CAACGCUGACGGCGUGCCUAAUACAUGCAAGUCGAGCGGACAGAUGGGAGCUUGCUCCCUGAUGUUAGCGGCGGACGGGUGAGUAACACGUGGGUAACCUGCCUGUAAGACUGGGAUAACUCCGGGAAACCGGGGCUAAUACCGGAUGCUUGAUUGAACCGCAUGGUUCAAUUAUAAAAGGUGGCUUUUAGCUACCACUUACAGAUGGACCCGCGGCGCAUUAGCUAGUUGGUGAGGUAACGGCUCACCAAGGCAACGAUGCGUAGCCGACCUGAGAGGGUGAUCGGCCACACUGGGACUGAGACACGGCCCAGACUCCUACGGGAGGCAGCAGUAGGGAAUCUUCCGCAAUGGACGAAAGUCUGACGGAGCAACGCCGCGUGAGUGAUGAAGGUUUUCGGAUCGUAAAACUCUGUUGUUAGGGAAGAACAAGUACCGUUCGAAUAGGGCGGUACCUUGACGGUACCUAACCAGAAAGCCACGGCUAACUACGUGCCAGCAGCCGCGGUAAUACGUAGGUGGCAAGCGUUGUCCGGAAUUAUUGGGCGUAAAGCGCGCGCAGGCGGUUUCUUAAGUCUGAUGUGAAAGCCCCCGGCUCAACCGGGGAGGGUCAUUGGAAACUGGGGAACUUGAGUGCAGAAGAGGAGAGUGGAAUUCCACGUGUAGCGGUGAAAUGCGUAGAGAUGUGGAGGAACACCAGUGGCGAAGGCGACUCUCUGGUCUGUAACUGACGCUGAGGCGCGAAAGCGUGGGGAGCGAACAGGAUUAGAUACCCUGGUAGUCCACGCCGUAAACGAUGAGUGCUAAGUGUUAGAGGGUUUCCGCCCUUUAGUGCUGCAGCAAACGC
rnacentral:rRNA from 1 species